GGGAGGUGACACUUGACAUGGGAAGUCAUCGUGAACUCCAAGUGCCAAGCAAGGACACUCCCUGUACUUAAAGAAGUAGGCCCCGAAGCCAGGCCUAUAAAGGGUAAGAAAAACACUCUGGCAUUCAAAGCCAAGUUCAAUUUCAGGACACAGGGGAUUUGCAGGGGACAGAAUCCCCCCAGGCCCUGUCCUUUCUGCCACAGAGGAGUCCAGGGGGGCCCCUCCGAUGUCACAGUCCUGCAAAAGUGCCAUGGAGAAUGUCACUCAAGGCCCCAGCCUCCCCCAACCCUUGCUGCAAGAAACUGCAGCGUCACCCCGGCUUCCACUAACGUCUGUGCCUUUGUUGGAGACACUGUUUGCAUUUCAGAAAGAACCAAGCAGGGAACAGGAUCAAGCCCCUCUGUGAUAGGCCCGAUGCUGAUUUCGGAAGAUCAACAACUCACUUUCUCCCGGGCAGCAUUUCUGGGGUGUUGUCCUGCCGGGCCAAUGGGGCCGGAGCACAGAAGUGCCCCCUCAAAGGGGUGACACCUAGCCAGGACAGUCCCUGCAGCCCAGCUCUCCUGAAUGGACAACAGUGGGCGACAGGGGCCUGCUGACCUCCAGAGGAGCAGUCUGCAGCUGCCAGCAGGUGAAACCGGGCCGUGCCUUCCUACGGGGGCAGCUUGCCCAGGGAGACUUCUGGAAGGAGAUUCAUUCAGGAGUGCCCACUGUACCCGAGGCACCGUGCCAGGUGGAGGAGAUACAGCAGUGAGGGAGACAGGUGAAGUCUCUGCCCUCAUGGAGUGACAUUCUAAAGAUGCAUAAUUAAAACAAAAUAAAUAUUAAUAUAUCAGUCACCGGACUAAAAGGCGCGUGGACAUCUGGUUUUGGACGUCCCUGCGAGCAUUUCUGGAGUCUUUCGAGACUCAAGGAGGUCUCCUUUCCGGCAUUCUCUGAGCCUCCCUGAGAAUGUCAGGAAUUAGCCCCUGGGUGGCCUGACCUCCCGCCUGGGCCUGGGAAGCCAACAAAAGCCCCCGCCUUCCCAGGGCUGUGCGCUGCAGGCAGACACAGAUGGCAGGGCGUCCACACUGCGUCAUCCCUGGUUACCGCUCCGGUUCCCAAAGCAGCCCUGGCCCGAACCGCCCUGCGUGCGCGGCCGCUCAGGCCCGGUCAAGGUGAGAGCACGAGCCAGAGGCCUGUGUGCACCGGACGAGACCUGCAGACUCGGAGCUGAGAGUGCGUGUCCCUCCUGGGUCCCCUCCGGCUUCGGCCCGACAGAACCAGUAAGACUGUAAUUCUCAUUUUUAAAAUAUUAAUGCAGGCCGGGCGCGGUGGCUCCCGCCUGU